CGCACGGAAGCUGCAUGUCCUUUUCGCGUAUUGAGAAGGUGUGUGCGUGUAUGUGUGCGUGGUUCACUCAUUUACUCCCAUCGGUGGUAUCACGGCUAAGUGAUAAGCGGCACGGGGGCAACUUGCUCAUACUACGGUGUAUGUCGGUGGUGUUGGUUAGCAGAGGACAGCUGCCGCAGGAUCCCUGGGGAUGGAUGGACUGUGCUUCCGCUGUUGGGUGAAAACGUGUCGUGUGUUCGGGUAGAAGGUCCCGGUACUGUAUCGCGUACCACCAGUGGCUUGUGAAUUGUGCUCGUGAAAGUGUUUACGUGAACGUCCUCAGGUGAAAGUCGGCUUUAGUGCGUGGUGGUUGUGUUACGUCUAAUUUGUGAAUACGUCGUCCUCGUAAACCGAUGUGUAUGUGUUGUCGCGAAUCGUCGUCAGCCGCUUGAAAGGGGGGGAGGCGAAGAAAUUAUGUAUCCAUUUUGGUUGGUUCGUGUAAUUUGUAUUGCAAAUGGAACAUGUGCUUCGUGAAAGAAAUCUAAGUGUGUGCGUGCUAUUGGUGCCAAUUCUAGUUCCCAAUCCACUACUGUAAAAGAGUUACCGGUAAGAAGAAGAAGAAGCUAAAGAAAAAAAGUCAUCAUCCAACGUGGGUCUAUAUAGAAAUAUCGUGAGUUAAAAGAGCGUUAAAACAGCUAAUUUCUUUGCACCACUCGGUCGGGGUACUUACGACCAGCAAAAUGGGGCAAAAUCAGAAGAUCGGAAAGGUUUACAGAACAUGGCUCCUGACAUUGCUCGUCCUUGCGCCAGCGGUGAUUGUCGCCGUAGCCGGGGCCAACACCGACAAGCUGGAAAAGCUGGCAAUGUACGAAGCGAAAGAACAUGUGCUGAUGAACAACAUGAUCCCGGAGCAGGCAUCGGCGGUUACGGUGGACGGCAAAAACCUGACAGGCUCGAGGAUAGUACCGCCGACUAAGGCUAAACCAACGGAAUCGCACGCUACCGAUGUAUCUAUCAACAAUGGUACAGUGCCACGUACGGGCAAAACUACCACCGGAUUACCCAGCGAAUUUAACAUGACACUUCAGUGCGCUGAACGUCAAUUCCGCUGCGGCAACGGACAGUGCAUUCACAUAAGCUUCGUGUGCGAUGGAGAAGACGAUUGUAACGAUGGUAGCGAUGAGGAUUUACUUGUGUGUAAAGUAACAGAGACCGCUUGUCCUGGUGACAAAUUCCGCUGCAAGAAUGGUAGGUGUAUCCUGAAGCGCUGGCAGUGCGAUGGCGAGCGUGACUGUGCCGACGGUUCGGACGAAGACGUCGAAAAAUGCCAGAGCAAAGUGUGCUCAUCAGAGGAAUUUACAUGUCGCAGUGGAACCGGCAACUGCAUCCCGCUGGGCUGGAUGUGUGACCAGAACCGCGACUGUGCCGACGGAUCCGAUGAGAUGUCCUGCAAUGAAACAUGCCGCUCGGAUGAGUUCACCUGUGCGAACGGGCGUUGCAUACAGAAACGUUGGGCCUGCGAUCUUGAUGAUGACUGUGGUGAUAGAUCGGACGAGAAAAAUUGUCAACCCAGCACGUGCGAUCCACUGAAGCAGUUUGCCUGCGCGGAAAACUACUGCAUCACCAGCAAAUGGCGGUGCGAUGGCGAGCCCGACUGUCCGGACGGUUCCGACGAAAGGGGCUGUGCCAACCCACCACCACCGACCUUCUCCACCUGCCUGCCGCUGGAGUAUCAAUGCAAUGAUCGUAUCACCUGUAUCCACCGGAGUUGGAUUUGCGACGGCGAGAAGGAUUGUCCGAAGGGUGACGAUGAAAUGCCACCGAUAUGUCAGAAUGUAACCUGCCGGUCAGAUCAAUUCCAGUGCAAAAAGGAUAAAACCUGCAUCAAUGGACAUUUCUACUGCAAUGGCAAAAACGAUUGUUCCGACGGUAGUGACGAGCAGAACUGUGGAAUUAAAAGUCCGAGUGAGAAGUGUAAUCCCAAGACAGAGUUUGAUUGCGGUGGAGGAAUGUGUAUACCGUUGUCGAAGGUUUGCGACAAGAAACCCGACUGUCCCGAGUUCCAGGAUGAACCAGCCGACCGGUGUGGCAAGAACGAGUGUCUGCAGGGCAACGGUGGAUGCUCGCAGCUGUGUGUGGAUACACCUGCUGGGUUUUACUGUGAUUGUAAACCGGGCUUCAAAUUAGCCGACAAUCGAACCUGUGUAGACAUCGACGAGUGUGAAGAGCCGGGAUCAUGUUCCCAAAACUGCAUCAACGAAAUUGGCACCUUCAAGUGUGAAUGUAUGGACAAUUAUCUACGCGAUCCACGCGACCACACACGGUGUAAGGCGACGGAAGGGCACGCCUCGCUGCUCUUUGCCCGACGUCACGAUAUCCGCAAGAUUUCGCUCGAUCACCGCGAAAUGACGUCGAUUGUGAACGAUACGAAAUCGGCCACCGCACUGGAUUUCGUGUUCCGCACCGGAAUGAUCUACUGGAGCGAUGUCUCGGAGAAGCGAAUCUACAAGGCCCCCAUUGACGAAGGUUCAGACAAGACGGUCGUUGUUAAAGAUCAGCUCGUCACGUCGGACGGUUUGGCGGUGGAUUGGAUCUACAAUCACAUCUACUUCACGGACAUAAAACAAUCAUCGAUCGAGCUUGCCAACUUCGAUGGUAACAUGGGCAAGGUUUUAAUACAGGAUGAUUUGGAAAUUCCGCGCGCUAUCGCACUGGAUCCAAUUGACGGAUGGAUGUACUGGACGGAUUGGGGCACUAACCCAAGAAUCGAACGUGCCGGUAUGGACGGUACACACCGACAAGUGAUCGUAAGCUACGAAGUAAAGUGGCCCAACGGCAUCACGUUGGAUUUGGUGCGAAAGCGUGUGUACUGGGUCGAUGCGAAGCUGAACGUUAUCUCGUCCUGUAACUAUGAUGGUUCCAAACGCUCGGUAAUACUUUACUCGGCGGACUACUUGCGACAUCCGUUUUCGAUUACCACGUUCGAGGAUUGGGUGUACUGGACCGACUGGGACAAGGAAGCCGUGUUCAAGGCGAACAAAUUCACCGGCAAAGACAUCGAACCGGUGACAGCAAUGCACAUGUUGCAACACCCGAUGACGAUCCACGUGUACCAUCCGUACCGUCAGCCGGACGGUGUAAACCACUGUCAGGCGGUGAACGGCCACUGUUCGCAUCUGUGCCUGCCGGCACCCCAAAUUAACUCCAACAGCCCGAAGAUUUCCUGCGCGUGCCCAACCGGGCUGAAGCUCAUGAGCGACAGCUUAAUGUGUGUAGAAGACGAAACAAGUCCAGCGGAACCGGCGGGCACUGUCGAGGGUACUGAAGCUGGUGAAGGCACCGAUAACAUCGAUAAUAACAAUGGGCAAUCGACUAUUGCCCAGCAGCCUGGGCUUAGUACGCCGGGCCCUGCUCCAACCUCCACCACCACCAGCGGCAUCGCAAACAGCUUACAUCUUGCCGUCAUCUGUACCAACCUUACGCGCUCGGUGGCAAUUAUGGAAAGUUUGAAAUCGUACACCGGUACGGUGCGGGAUCGGGCCGCCCUGUACCAUUCCUACAUGAACCGGGUCGUGCAGAACCAGACGGAAGUGCGCCCGGUACGGUACUCGUACUGGGAGCAGCGCAAGCGAUUCAAUCUGCUCGAGAAUCUUUUCCCGCGGGCCCCGGUCGAUGCGAUCGAGCGGACGAACGAGGCGGCCGCGGCCCAACACCGGGGACUCUACGAUAACGAGCUGUUCGCCUCCAUUGAGUAUGUGAGGUGGAUUUGUGAAAAGUAUCGAGCGACGAUGCGAAAUGGCACCGACGGAACGCUCAUCCAUCCGGGCGUGGUCGAGGAUGACUCCGGUAAGGUCGGCGUAAUCGCUAUAUGCAUCCUGUUUGCGUUGGCCUUCCUCGUCGGAUCGAUUGUGCUCUGUUUAUAUCGCUACUACAAUCACGCACGCUCGACCACGAUGAACUUCGACAAUCCGGUGUACCGAAAAACUACCGAGGACCAGUUCAGCCUGGAGAAGAACAUGCAGAGCCGCAUGUACCCGAGCACCGUUGGCGAAGAGAUAAAUACAUUUCACUACCGCACUUGAAGUGUUUGCCAAAGUAGCUUAGCUGAAAAUUAAAGUUCUGUCGUAGGGUGGAGGUGGUGGUGGUGUUUUGUAUUAUGUGUGUGCGUGUGCGUCUGUGUCUGACACACGGAGUAGGGAGAUAAUGCAAAGAUAAGCAACCGGCAGCCAUACAAAGGGCCAUCGGAAAAGCGUGUGAAAAGAGAGAGAGUGAAGGAAAAUGCAACACACCUUCAAGCUUCAGAAGCUCUGCAAAAAUCGUAUCGUCAGCGCAUCUCAUCAGCGUGGCGGUGCAUCCACCGGACGUGGUUUCGAACAUCCCAUCCAUCCACCCUCCAAAGAGCGCACUACGUACUUGUACUAAAAACCGCAGCAAACGUGUCCUUCAUCAACGCUUUUCACCGUCCACACACACACACACUCAAAAGCGCGCGCAAUGAAGCACAUUAGUUCUACACUCACACGCCACGAAGCGUCAUAACUGUGCACCACCCAUCAUCAAAUGGCCAUCGUCACCGUGGGCCACUGAGGAAAACCCCAACCGACCGACAGACCAACGCAACUUUCGAAUCAUAAAAUGUACAAACGAAAACAACGCGCGAGAAUGCGAGAUGGUUGUUUGAACGUUUACGACCCGCACACGCGGAAGGCACAGGAACCGCUCACCCGACCGGCCACCAACGAUUAUGUCUAAUAGAUACCAAAAAAAACAAAAGACUCGUUGGUCCACGUACCACACGCAAAGCAAGCCAACCAACACGCUCAAGAAGUGAUUUUACAACAACAUCAAAACCAAUGGCGCUACAUGGAUGGGUCACUACAGCAGAAUAGAUAUUACCGGUGCAGCAGCAGCAUAAUCAUUACAGCAAAAGCAGUCGAACGCACCAGCCGGAAAACAACGCCCGUCUGGGUGGAAACGAGCUGGCGACAUUUGUCAUUCGAAGUCAAAGUGUCGUGCAUGUGCAAUAUAUUAUUUAAUAGGUAGUAGACAAAGUUCAGUGGAUCAUAAUUCAAAUUUGAGCAGAUUCUUAACAGUUAAACUUAGAUACAGGCACAACAAACUACAGACACUCACAGAGAUAACUAUAGAAGGUCAGGGAAUGAACCACAGCCCGCCGGUAAAUACUCAUCGAGUAUAGCAAAAAAAGCUUCAUUUCAUUUUCUUCUUUCCGGAAGAUCCCCAGAGGAUUCAGGUGGGAUAACAUCAGCAAAAUUUAAACUUUCCCUGCAAACACAUUUAGGUAGUCUUCAGAUGAAUCCCCCCCACAUACAUACAGAUGUAUGCAAUACGCUUCAGUGAUGGUGGAAAAUGACUGCUAUUAGUAUGAUUGUACGCGGGAAAAUUUAAAAGGGAAAACAAGCCGUUACACUUUUCCUGUUUGUUUUUGUAUAAUACUCCAUCGUGUGUGUGUGUAUGUGUACAUGAUAACUAAUUGUUUGCUGGAACUGAAAACCAUCCAAAAGCUCAUCCUAAACACAGCGCCUAAAUUUAUGCAAACCUGUUCUUUUUUAAACGAUUGCAUACUACACAUCGGGGAAAAAUGCGAAUCGGUGAAAUGAUACGAAUGAAAGGGAUAGAUGUAAAUCAUUUUUUCGAAUUGCUUAAUGUCCUAAAUUUGUUUUGUAGCUUUAAGUAGUGGAAAGUGUCAACCCAGAUCCAGUUGUGCUACUGUGGGAUACACGGAUAGGGCAGAGUUUAUUAGGUAACCACUGUUAAGCUGCUUCGUUUAUUGUAAUUCAAAACAAAAUUACGGUUAACGGCAGGUUUUUUGGCUUCUUCACUGUUGGUUUAGGGCAAAUUAGAGAAGAAAAAAGACGUGUGACGAUUGUUUAAUGUUAUGUUUCCCAAAAUUACACACAUACGGAAAAAAUGGAUAGGAUUUAAGGGACUCCUAGUACUAUGGUAGACUGAAAAGUGGGUAAACAGUGCGUCAUGAUGCACAUGCAACAUUGGCCAUGCUGUGUCAUCGAAAACCAUCGGAAACGGAACAAUUUUUGCGAACCGUGAAUGGCAGGCGAUAUUCACGGCGGGAAAAUUAAAUAUCUAAUUGUAAAUACACCAAGCCCAAGUUUCGUUAUGUAGUUUAAUUUUGUUUGUUUUUUCUCUCACUCAUUUGAAUCCUUUUCCCCCUUUUUAAAUACUUUAGUUUGGAUGACAUCAUUUUCUCCGCAUUCAUAGUCCUUUGUUUUCCUUUUGUUUCGUUCUUUCCACAUUUUUCCUCACACUUCACACAACCAACCAAUGUAGCACAAUUUGCAGCGUAGAUAGUGAAAUUUUCCUUCCAUAAAAUUAAACCGAAUCACAUUGUAAAACUCCUAUCGGGGUGAUGAUGUUCCUGUUUUGGUGGUGUUUGCAAAUCGAGCCAAACCCCUGUUAGCGCCUCGUUGCGAUAGAAUUUAAACAAAACUGCGAGCAAACUGCGAGCAAACGCAGAAAAGAGUAGCAAUCUGGCCGUUUGUCCCCAGUUUGUACUUGUUCCAGCCAAUCUUUGUUGCGUCCUAAUCCCAUUCUAGCAAUAUGUAACGUUUAUUAGCUUUUGCACACAACAAGUGUAACAAAAUGUUUCCGCAACUACUACUUCUACUACCAACUAAGUUCUUCCUAUGCAGAUCGUUAGAAAAUAUUGAGACAAAGAGGAAAGUGCUAGUGGAUGUGGAAAAUUUGUAAGAAAUCAAUUAGCGAGCUAGGAGAGGAAUUAGGAUUAUUAGGCGUUCGGUUUUUUGCUCAGAUAUUUCCCAUUCUUAACCCAACGGCACCGAAGCGUGUGUCCGGGUUGCAUAGACAUUUGCUCAAACUGAAAACGUAGUGACAUUUUUGGAUGCGGUGGAAAGCAGAUUGCACAGAAGGAGGGUUCCAAUGUGGUGCAUCUUACACUAGCAUAAGCAUAGCAUAAAGUAAAGCAACAAAAAAUUGCCCCAAACAACAGAGCAAAGAACGUUCGCCAAACAACAAGAGAGAGACUCUGCUCUGGUACUAAAUAAGGCCAAAUACUUUUUACACUUACAGAAGCUAACACCGACAGCUUACACAAAUGGUGAUUUAAUUCGAAUUCCUAGCGCAACGGUUAGCCAAAACACAAAACCAAUAAUCCAUCCAACAAACCCCACAGUGGUGGCCUGGUAACACUACACUCUGUCUCCUAUUAUCGGCUUUUUGUGAUUACAUUGCAGUCCGUUCGGUGAGGUUCGUUAUGGAGGGCGGCAGAGCAAAACCCAGUAUGCGAGGUAGAGCGAAAAAGAAGUGUUAUAGAAAAUGAGAGAUUUUUAAUUACAUAGAAGCAGAAAAAAUGAACGAGAACCAUCGUUUAUAGUUAACUAAUAACUAAUUUAUGCUAAUUUUAGAUCCCAUUUUUCUAGACACCCUACCUACAAAAAAAAAAACUCAAGCGCAAGGGAACAAAAUGGAGUGAAGCGAAAAGAUGCAGCCAAAAUUUGGGAGUUACUAACUUUACUGAAAACGCUCAAACAUUAAGCAAACCGACAGCGUGAACCCUUGAGAACAUUUAAAAAUACCGAAGGCUACGCGAACUACUACUGCAAAACUACUGUACUGGUCAAUGCAUAAAUGUAGUAAAAGUUUUUUCCACCUUCAUUCACUCCAAAUCAACCAAGUCAACGGAAGCGAACAAAAACCAUACAAAUUCAAUAUAACUAAAUUUACACCCACUUCACAGAUUUAAUGUAAUACGUAAGAUAUAAAUAGAGGUGGUUUAAACAAACAACAAAACGAUUAAACCAUGAUAACAAAAAGCAAGGCUCAACAUUGGCAAUUAAAGUAAAACAAAAGACGAACGAAAAGUAAAAACAAAAAAAAAA